CCUAACACAUGCAAGUCGAACGGGAAGCGGUGCAUAUUGCUUCGGUGAUAAUGUGCCGUGGAGAGUGGCGAACGGGUGCGUAACACGUAGGUAACCUGCCCUGAAAGGGGGGAUAACCACGGGAAACUGUGGCUAAUACCGUAUAAUCUCGCCGUGGCGGUGGUUACGGUGAGGAAAGCUGAGGCGAUUUGGGAGGGGCCUGCGGUCGAUUAGCUGGUUGGUGGGGUAAAGGCCCACCAAGGCGAUGAUCGAUAGCUGUUCUGAGAGGAAGACCAGCCACACGGGAACUGAGACACGGUUCCGACUCCUACGGGGGGCAGCAGUGAGGAAUAUUGCGCAAUGGGGGGAACCCUGACGCAGCAACGCCGCGUGGAGGACGAAGGUUUUCGGAUUGUAAACUCCUUAACUGGGGGAAGAGAGAGGACGGUACCCCAGG
rnacentral:rRNA from 1 species